rnacentral:rRNA from 1 species
GGUUGAUCCUGCCAGUAGUCAUAUGCUUGUUUCAAAGAUUAAGCCAUGCAAGUCUGAGUUUAAGAUCUUUUGAACGAAACUGCGAAUGGCUCAUUAUAACAGUGAUAACCUAUGCGAAAAUAAAACUACACGGAUAACUGUGGUAAUUCUGGAGCUAAAACGUGAACCUUUUCGGAGGUCUUACGCAUUGGACUCAAACCAAGUAGCUUUGCUACCUUUGUUGAUCCACAAUGCUGUGAUUAAUCGCUUGUCGAGAGUUCGCUUGGGUUUCUGACCUAUCAGCUUUUGAUGGU